UAUUUCUCCAUCCCAUCUCUCUCCCUCCUUCUCCCAAUCAUUGCUCUCCCAUCCCUCUUCCUCUCCCCUCCUAACCCUCUCCCUUUAUUAACCCUUCAAUUAUAUUUUCAUUAAAAGAAUUAUUUCUCUCCUUUCUUUCUUAAACAUUAAUUCUUUGUCCCAUAGUUACCUUCAAAUCUAUCCGCCACAUGUUUGGGAAAAUGACCCUCAAGAAAUAAAUUUCAAGCCUGAAAUUGGUGUUUUCUUUUUUCAUGUACUGAAUUUGUUUCCUUACAAUAAGAUAGUAGAUGGAAGAUAACAAAGUCUCCAUUCGAAGAUCAAAGCAAACUGACUUGCUAGUUGUCUUUGGAGAGGGAGAGGGAGGGGAGAGCGGAGGUGAGGGAAGGAAAUAAAUUUUUAAUUGAUAUUAAUAUUAAUAUAAAAUUAUAAAAAGAAAGAAAUUAUGUCUUCAGUAGAUAUGCUUCUUCAUUAUCAUCCAAUCAAUUAAGUAGAUAUGCUUCUUCUUUAUCUGUUAAUCUUCAGUAGUUUCUAGUUAUGUCUUUCACCUGCAUCUUAUGAAUGAUGCAUUUGUAAUUAAUUGGAUUUGGUCAUAGCUGUACCGAGAUCAAUUCAACUAAAAGUUGAUGAUUUAA